rnacentral:rRNA from 1 species
GACGAACGCUGGCGGCGUGCUUAACACAUGCAAGUCGAGCGGUAAGGCCCUUUCGGGGGUACACGAGCGGCGAACGGGUGAGUAACACAUGGGUGACCUGCCCUCAGCUCUGGGAUAAGCCCGGGAAACUGGGUCUAAUACCGGAUAUGACUCCAUGACGCAUGUUGUGGGGUGGAAAGCCUUGUGCGGCUGAGGAUGGGCCCGCGGCCUAUCAGCUUGUUGGUGGGGUGAUGGCCUACCAAGGCGACGACGGGUAGCCGGCCUGAGAGGGCGACCGGCCACACUGGGACUGAGAUACGGCCCAGACUCCUACGGGAGGCAGCAGUGGGGAAUCUUGCGCAAUGGGCGAAAGCCUGACGCAGCGACGCCGCGUGAGGGAUGACGGCCU